rnacentral:rRNA from 1 species
UGCGCUGAGUAUCAUGUAGCCGUAGCAACUUCCGUUAACUGAUCAGGACGUGCUUGCACUGAAUGAGAUUUUAACACGAAGUGAGUGGCGGACGGGUGAGUAACACGUGGGUAACCUGCCCAGAAGCAGGGGAUAACACCUGGAAACAGAUGCUAAUACCGUAUAACAGAGAAAACCGCCUGGUUUUCUUUUAAAAGAUGGCUCUGCUAUCACUUCUGGAUGGACCCGCGGCGCAUUAGCUAGUUGGUGAGGUAACGGCUCACCAAGGCGAUGAUGCGUAGCCGACCUGAGAGGGUAAUCGGCCACAUUGGGACUGAGACACGGCCCAGACUCCUACGGGAGGCAGCAGUAGGGAAUCUUCCACAAUGGACGCAAGUCUGAUGGAGCAACGCCGCGUGAGUGAAGAAGGGUUUCGGCUCGUAAAGCUCUGUUGUUAAAGAAGAACGUGGGUGAGAGUAACUGUUCACCCAGUGACGGUAUUUAACCAGAAAGCCACGGCUAACUACGUGCCAGCAGCCGCGGUAAUACGUAGGUGGCAAGCGUUAUCCGGAUUUAUUGGGCGUAAAGCGAGCGCAGGCGGUCUUUUAAGUCUAAUGUGAAAGCCUUCGGCUCAACCGAAGAAGUGCAUUGGAAACUGGGAGACUUGAGUGCAGAAGAGGACAGUGGAACUCCAUGUGUAGCGGUGAAAUGCGUAGAUAUAUGGAAGAACACCAGUGGCGAAGGCGGCUGUCUGGUCUGUAACUGACGCUGAGGCUCGAAAGCAUGGGUAGCGAACAGGAUUAGAUACCCUGGUAGUCCAUGCCGUAAACGAUGA